rnacentral:rRNA from 1 species
ACGAACGCUGGCGGCGUGCUUAACACAUGCAAGUCGAACGGAAAGGCCCUGCUUUUGUGGGGUGCUCGAGUGGCGAACGGGUGAGUAACACGUGAGUAACCUGCCCUUGACUUUGGGAUAACUUCAGGAAACUGGGGCUAAUACCGGAUAGGAGCUCCUGCUGCAUGGUGGGGGUUGGAAAGUUUCGGCGGUUGGGGAUGGACUCGCGGCUUAUCAGCUUGUUGGUGGGGUAGUGGCUUACCAAGGCUUUGACGGGUAGCCGGCCUGAGAGGGUGACCGGCCACAGUGGGACUGCGAUACGGCCCAGACUCCUACGGGAGGCAGCAGUGGGGAAUAUUGCACAAUGGGCGGAAGCCUGAUGCAGCAACGCCGCGUGCGGGAUGACGGCCUUCGGGUUGUAAACCGCUUUCGCCUGUGACGAAGCGUGAGUGACGGUAAUGGGUAAAGAAGCACCGGCUAACUACGUG